AAACCCCUUAACGAGUAACCAUCAGAGGGCAAGUCUGGUGCCAGCAGCCGCGGUAAUUCCAGCUCUGAUAGCGUAUAUUAAAGUUGUUGCAGUUAAAAGCUCGUAGUUGGAUUUUAGAGUAUAUUGAUAUGGUCUCUUGUGAUAAACUUGUUGUACUGUAUUAAUUACUCUUUCCUACUGGUUACUCGACUCUGUUCUUUAUUGCAUGGAGUAGUGUCGCAAGGCAUCGCUUAGUAUUUUUAUUGCUUUUAGAUGUAGUAAUUGGGUAAAACUGGUUAUGAAACCUAAGGGAUCACAGUAAAGUAUUAAGUGGGGUUCCAGUUCAUUUACUUUUGAGUAAAUUAGAGUGUUCAAAGCAGCCUGUAUGGGCAUUGAAUAGAUUAGCAUGGGAUAAUAGAAUAGGAUUCUUGUCUAUUUAUUGGUUUAUAGACUUAGAAUAAUGAUUAA
rnacentral:rRNA from 1 species